GUAAAUAGGGGUAUUUAGCUUAAUUUGUAAAUUGUUAUGAUUUUCUUGAUAUAUUAUUCACAAUUGAUGACUUUAUACAUACAUAAAUGAACACUCUCAGCAUCUCUCAGACACUCAAGGAUAGAAGGUAACAAUCUAUAUGGGUUUAGUACAUUUUUAACUCAAAAUGUAGUUGUAAUACAUGUUAAAAUUUAAUGUUAAUUUCAUAUAAAAUUACCCGUACGCAGUACGGGACUAAACACUAGUCUAUAUUAUAAUAGGAGAGUUUUUGCUCUCUUCUAAACCUAUCCACGUCAGCAAGCUUUUUUUGUGGGUUCCACUAAGACAAUAAAUAUUACGUAACCAACGUUCUUUUUGUCCACGUAAUUUUUUUUGUCUUUUGGUUUCGAUAUAUCAUUUCUCAUUUGGUUUGGUUAUCUUAAUAUAUAUACCAUAUGAUACAAAACCAUAAAGGAACCCAAUAAAUUUUGAAGCCCAUUGGCUAGCCUGCUUAGUAAUGAUGUUGUCGUUUGAAGUUUGAACCCCAAAGAAAUCUAAACUAUGUGUUUAAUGUGUUACUUAAUUAUGUUGGAAAUCGUUUCCAUCUUCCACGAUACAACAUAGCCGUCUCCGCCGUUGUUAAAAAAAACUUCUCUGUCAACAUAGCCGUCUCUUCAACUUCGUCUCUUGCGCACCCUUCGUUCAACGUUUUUUUUCCUAAUAUAUACAAUAGAUCUUCAGUUAACAUUGAAAUCAUUAAAGCUCACCAACUCUCCGUCUCCCUACAUAUACAAUAGAAGCUUUAUGCGUGUUAAAACCAGUAAACACCUCAAACCCUAUAAAUAGGAGAGGCUAGGGUCUGGAAUCACGGCCCCACAAACUCCUUUUCUCAGUUUAUCUUCACGCGAAAACCUAGAAGCUUCUUUCAAAAUGUCUUCAUAUGAUGUUGUUGUCGCCCAAUCAGCCAUCCGACCUGGCCGCACUUCCCAAUUCAUUGUUGGUCGUGUCCUCCACUUUUGCGAUCCCGUAAUAUCAAGAAAUGGGAAUCACUCUUCUUUUCCGAGAUGAAAAGAGAUCCGUGAUCCACUGAUCCAUCGUUACGGAUGGAUGGAUCACUACCGUCCCGGUUCCAUCGUCAAAGUUGAUAGCAGGAAGUUGGACAAAUUUGGCACUUCUCUCUGUUGUAACAAAUAUGUUUCUCCCAAUGUUACAGGUGUGAUCAGUACAAAGUUAACAUCCUCACCCAUAAAAUAGGGGAACGCGUUAUUCUUGGAUAUAUAUUAACAUUUUUCGAACUUUUUUGCAAGUACCAUGUCGAACUAUACUUGCAACUACGGCAACGAUAGUGACAUAUGUGGUCUUCAACAGGGAGAUGACCAAGCUCACUAAGCAAGAUGCUUCUGCUCUGGCUCUUGAGGGAGUUCAUCUUUUGGUUUUACACUUCAUUUGACCCAUGUUUAGAACUGUAACAAGCACUAAUUGUUUCACAAACGUAUUAUAGAUAAAUGAAGGUGGAGAGCAAGAACUACCAAGAUGUCUUUAAAAGCUUGCUGGCAAGGAAUACUUUUCUCAGAUACGUGCCACUCCAUACAAUUUUGUCCCAAACCACCGUGUCUGGGUCUGCAGUCAGUGACACAGAGGUUGAAUACUUUUUGUUUUCCAAAAUAUUUUCUUUGGACAAAUUUAAAUUGACACAUGUACAACUCUGUUUCAGAGUAGCAGCAGCUUCAAAGCUCCAGUUAUAAUGUAAAACAUUUUUUUAAAAAGGUCCAUUUUAAAAUAUCACACAUGAAAGAAGUCAUGAAUUCUAUUUUAAUAUAUAAAGUUGCACGGGUAUUUGUUU